rnacentral:lncRNA from 1 species
AUACUCUGUUUAUGUAAAAAGACUUGUACUGUAUUUUUUUUUUUUUUUACAAUUGAUAAAAUAAUUUACUUUAAACUCAUCUAAACUAUAAGGAGAGAGAUUCGAAUACGUAACAUCAAGUGCAAAGACGAAUACUGUUAGAUUAGUAUUGUACUUGAUAGAGUUAACUACACUUACACCAAUGAUGAUAAAUAAAAUUUUCGCUUUCUAUGCGGGCCAACUAGAUUUCCUCCAUUUCCUCAAGGAAUCUCACCGCUAUAUUACUGUGAAAUUUUUUAUUUUUUAUUUUUAAUAAGGAAAGGGAUGAGUUGAUUACACCUGAUUACCCUAAGAGAUUAGUAAAAUAAUGUAUUGAUAGUAUUUUUUUAAUUCUAAAAAGAAAUCAUCAAUUAAAUUAAGAGAUUCUUCAAAUCAUACCACUCUCUCGAUCCAACAACAAAUCAUAGCGUGCAAGCCAAUGAUUAGCUUCAUAAUGUAAUGUGAGGAGUAUGAUUCUCUUCCCUUCAAAUAUUCUUCCGGUUUGAUCUUCUCUUAUUCAAAUGGUCGCAAUUUAUCUACGUUAAUAUUAUUUAAUCACAACUUAAUGAGAAGAAAUUCCCUUUAGCCGUCCUUUUCCUAUAAUAACUACUUUGAUGUGAUGCUUCAACCAUAUAAAUUCAGAGCACAUGCGACAUGUCUAUGAAGUCAAUAAAUCUAUACAGACCGCCACUCAAUAGACUUGGAAAUUGUCCCUUUGCUUUUUUGUUCUGGAAAAAAAAAUGACAUACAAAGUCAAGAAUUAAUAAUCAUUUUCAUAUUAGAAAAGGCUUUUCGUAAGGUCAUAUGCUGUAAUCUUUAAUUUGGUAAUUAUCAUCUAUACAAUGCAUCAGAUGUAGAGUUUUAUCACAAAAAGCUUCGAUAUUAGUUAGAGAUGUUAGGGUAUUUAAACUCUUCUUUUCUUAGAGAUACGGUCAAUGUAAGAUAUUAAUAUGGUCGAAUUUCAGAUCCCACGUAUAUCACAUUAAUAGAAGAUUCGUAUCCAUGACAUAUUCAUAUUAAUUUUUUUCUCAGAUCAACAUUAUGAGAAUUUUCGUUUAACUUUGAACUUGAUAGACCGAGUUCAAGGAAAUUUUAGACUUGAACAUUACACUACUAUCUAGUUGUAAUUCAAACUAUACAUAAUUAUCUUGGCAUGAGAGGCGGUGAUUAGCAUUACUCAACGAUUUACCUAAAUGAAUAUUAAGGUUAUAAAAAGCGUUAGGCGGUAGUCAGGCGAGAUAUAGCGCCCAGACAUAUAGGCGAGGCCGAGGCUUUGUUUUUUUGUUUUUUUUUAAUUUUUUUUAUGUUAAUUUUAAUUAAAUUAUUAUAUAACAUAUAAAUAAAUGUCUACUUAUACUUUAAAAAUAUAUAUACUUGUAUCGAGUUACAUAAAUAGCAAAAUAAGAUGACAUAUAAAUUACAAAGUACUAGAACAUAUUCAAUAUGGGAAACAAGUAUAUAAUGAUUGUUCAUCUAGUAUCUAACAAGUCUAUACAAUUUAUUGAAAGAAUAAAUGCAAAAUGAAAGUUAUCUUUUAUGUCUUAAGUAAGAGCGGCGGCCUAGACAGGUGCCUAGGAAAAUUUAGGCACGAUUGUUUUUUUUUUUAAACACCUAUAGAUUAAUCGUAGCGGUGGUCAGCGGCCUAGAGUCCAGACGGGGCUAAGCGGAGAUGUUUAGAACACUGAUAAAUAUAUCAUUACAGCAAUGAUCUAGACAAUACUUGAUAACCUCAAUCAAUGACAAUCACUUGUGUGUGAGAUGUUAUAAGUAUAGUACAAAAAUUAUUACCAAUUACGUUGCCAAUACUGUAGUUUGUAGUAUACUCUACUUAGUACAGUAAAAUUUCUCUAUGUGAUAGUGAUACUCUAAAUAAGAAAAAACUCUAGAUCAUAAUAAGUAUUGAUGUCACGUCUCUAAGUUUACCGAUAUAUAGUAACUCAUCAAAAUAGAAACCUUGUUGUUGAAGCUAAAAUAUUUCUAGCUUAAAGCAUGCAUAUUUACAAUCUCAACAUAAAAGUUUUACAUUAAAGAGAGUACUACAUAUAUACAUGCAGGAGACUGUCUCGUUUUUUUCAUGUCUACAUCUUAAAAAUUAACAUGCUCUACUCACAGACGGAGUUGCAUAAGGCCCAGGGGAGGCAUCCGCCCCCACUCAGGUUUUUGGGUGAGAGUAAAAAAUGUAAUAUGACAAUUAAAACUUUGAGUUUGGUUCCAAACAUUCCACGUUUCCUAACCUAAACCAAACUCAAUUGAAAUGGAGGGUUUCAUACUGUUUGGGCCCAAAAUAACAGUUUGGGCCGAGGGAGGUAUCACUUUCGGCCCGGGAAGACGUACAGCGAGAGAGUCAUGGGGGCGUUCAGCUCAUGGGCUUCUAGGCCU